CCCACUUUUCCCGUUUUUUCAGUGUGAUAUCAUUUUUCUCCUCAAAAAUUCAUCAGCAACUUCAACCUAUCUUUGCUUCAAGUACAAGGCUGCCCUUCCCUCCUUAUUUCCUCUCAUUAUAAAAAUCAUCCACACCUCCCUCAAAACUGGAGCAGUUCCUCCUGCUUUCACAACAGCAGCUGUCACCCCCCAUCCUCAAAAAACCAGGAUCAGAUCCCACCAAUCUCAAUCAUUUCCGCCCAAUCUCAAAUGUUCCAUUCAUUUCAAAAAUCCUUGAAAUAGCUGUUGCUGUCAUGGUUCAGCCCUGCUCCUUCACCCCACCCUUUCUUCCUCCACUCUAAUUUCAUUCACCUGUGUUAAUUAAGUUCACAUUGUGCUCCAGUUGGUGUUCAUACUACUUAAGGUCCUCACUUUCACCUCCUCACUGCUAGUUCGUUGAAUCAGUCACGUUCCAGCAAGUUAUAAUGUUUGUAUUUUGAGUCUUUUCAUGGUUUUGACCCUUUUCUGGCCUGGUAACGAGUUUAAGCCUGUCCCCUUUCUGGAGUUUUUUUUCUGCGCUGGUUUUUUCCUCCUCUGUUUCCAUCCUGAGAGACGUGACGUUUCCAGAUCCCUCAUCUCAUCACGGAGUAAAGCUGCCUCCAACGUCGGUCUUCACCCUCCGGUGGAUUCUCAUCCUGUACACAGCAGCAGUGGGGGACUCCUCCAUCAUUCCUGACACCAUCCGCCCUGCACUCGGAUGCUUCAAAGGUUCUUCUCUCACGCCUGCUUGUGGAGUUCUACGCUCACCUGUGCAUCUGGCGGCACACCAAUUAAUUCUACCUCCCUAAUAAACAUUUUAAUUGUGA